rnacentral:rRNA from 1 species
GGGGAAGGCUAACACAUGCAAGUCGAACGGGAUUGAGAGCUUGCUCUCAUGAGAGUGGCGCACGGGUGAGUAACGCGUAUGCAACCUACCUUUAACAGAGGGAUAGCCCAUAGAAAUGUGGAUUAAUACCUCAUAGCUCUUUUGUUCCGCAUGGGAUGGAAGAUAAAGCUCCGGCGGUUAAAGAUGGGCAUGCGUGACAUUAGCUAGUUGGUAAGGUAACGGCUUACCAAGGCUACGAUGUCUAGGGGUUCUGAGAGGAUGAUCCCCCACACUGGUACUGAGACACGGACCAGACUCCUACGGGAGGCAGCAGUGAGGAAUAUUGGUCAAUGGGCGCAAGCCUGAACCAGCCAUCCCGCGUGCAGGAUGACGGCCCUAUGGGUUGUAAACUGCUUUUAUACACCAAGAAAAAUCCCGAUGUAUCGGGACCCGACGGUAGUGUAUGAAUAAGCAUCGGCUAACUCCGUGCCAGCAGCCGCGGUAAUACGGAGGAUGCAAGCGUUAUCCGGAUUUAUUGGGUUUAAAGGGUGCGUAGGCGGCUUUUUAAGUCAGUGGUGAAAUCCUGUCGCUUAACGAUAGAAUUGCCAUUGAUACUGAAGAGCUUGAGUUUAGUUGAGGUAAGCGGAAUGUGUAGUGUAGCGGUGAAAUGCUUAGAUAUUACACAGAACACCGAUUGCGAAGGCAGCUUACUAAACUAACACUGACGCUGAUGCACGAAAGCGUGGGGAGCGAACAGGAUUAGAUACCCUGGUAGUCCACGCCGUAAACGAUGCUCACUCGCUGUAUGCGAUACACAGUAUGCGGCCAAGCGAAAGCAUUAAGUGAGCCACCUGGGGAGUACGAUCGCAAGGUUGAAACUCAAAGGAAUUGACGGGGGCCCGCACAAGCGGAGGAACAUGUGGUUUAAUUCGAUGAUACGCGAGGAACCUUACCUGGGCUUAAAUGUAGAACGACAGCUUGUGAAAGCAGGUUUUCUUCGGACGUUUUACAAGGUGCUGGCAUGGUUGUCGUCAGCUCGUGGCCGU